rnacentral:rRNA from 1 species
UACGGAGGUGGCAAGCGUUGCUCGGAAUCACUGGGCGUAAAGGGCGCGUAGGCGGGGAGGUAAGUCGGGUGUGAAAUCCCUCGGCCCAACCGAGGAACUGCGCCCGAGACUGCUUCUCUUGAGUCCCGGAGAGGAAGAUGGAAUUCCCGGUGUAGCGGUGAAAUGUGUAGAGAUCGGGAGGAACACCGGUGGCGAAGGCGGUCUUCUGGACGGUGACUGACGCUGAGGCGCGAAAGCGUGGGAGCAAACGGG